rnacentral:rRNA from 1 species
AUUGAACGCUGGCGGCAGGCCUAACACAUGCAAGUCGAGCGAGCGGCGGACGGGUGUGAUAUGUAUGGGGACUGCCCGAUAUAGGGGGAUAACUACUGGAAACGGUGGCUAAUAUCGCAUACUGUCUGAUUACCCAUAUGGGAUUAGCUAGUAGGUAAGGUAAUGGCUUACCUAGGCGACGAUCCCUAGCUGGUCUGAGAGGAUGAUCAGCAACACUGGGACUGAGACACGGCCCAGACUCCGACGGAGGCAGCAGUGGGGAAUAUUGCACAAUGGGCGCAAGCCUGAUGCAGCCAUGCCGCGUGUAUGAAGAAGGCCCUAGGGUUGUAAAGUACUUUCAGUCGGGAGGCGUUACCGGCAGAAGAAGCACCGGCUAACUCCGUGCCAGCAGCCGCGGUAAUAC